AAGAGUGCAUGUGAGAAAUAUGAUAAGGAUAAAGAGCAAAGGAGAUGAGAAUAAAAUAUAAGCAAUUUUCUCUUGAACACAAAUUUUUACUAAACUUUAUGAGUUAUUCCUCUACUUGGGAAACCGAUUUCUCAAUUGUUUUUUAAAUCACAGUUUGUGUACAAAAUUAAAAAAUUAUUUUCAUCUCACAUAUGUAUUUUCAUACACUUUUAACAAUCAUGAAAGCAAAGGUUCCUCGGCUUGUCAAAAGAUAGACAUUUCUUCUCUUUAAUUAAUUUUAGCUCCUUUCAACAAGAAGUAAGGGAACUGUUUUACUUUCUUCCACCUUCUUGAUUUAAGUAACUGCCUGGUAAUUCAAUACACAGACCUUUAGCCGGUAAUUCAAUACAAAGAAAUUUUUUUAGCAAAAAAAUUCCUCCCUAAAGCACUGCUUAGUUUGGGUCUAUGAAUUCUGAACACAAUGCCUUGUUGCCUUCACCAGUUCAUUCCCAUGGAAACAUGAAGAGGAGAGUCCUGGACAAGGUGGAAGAAGAGCCCAGGGUUUUGAGCUUGCUGAAUGUCCGGAGAAGAGGAAAAUUAGAGAGCAGUGGCCAUCUGCAGGUCUGUAUUUGCCUGUAACUCAAGCUGAUGCUGCAAAUGAGGCUGAGCUGGUAGCAGCAAGGUCCAGCUCACAAAGUGUACAUAGGAUCUCUCUCUGAACCUCUUCCUUCCUGAACCCUUUUGGAGCACUUUUGACACGCACUGUAAUAUUAAUAAAUAAUAACUUAAAAAGUAAGACAUCACAUGUCCAAAUCCUGCCAACACGAGUGCAAGCACACAUGACAGACCUGGUCCAGGCACAGGAGGAGGCCAAACCUGGAAGAGUCCUCCCUAUUUACUUCACCAAUAUUGGAAGCCAGAGGGAGAGACAUGAAAAAGGGAGAAAGUGAUUAUGGAAAGACAAGCCAAUAUGUUCCACAAUGCUUCUGCCUUUACAGGCUUGGUGACAUCAGCCAGCUCAUCCAAAACCUCUGUGGAAAGGGUGGGAGAAGUGAACCCUGUCCAGGAAAGCUUCACCUUCAGGUCUAUCUCUUCCCCCCUCUCUACCACACAAGUCAGUCAGUGCUGCAGUCAGAGCUGCCCCAUGACCAGCACAUCUGGCACCCACACGGCUGAAACACCCGUCAGCAAAUUUGCCUCCAAUGCUCCUCAUAAACACAGCCCCUGUGCCCAGCCUCCAAAAGUCAGAGCUGGAAUCAUGCUCCCAUAAACAAGGUUCAGCAGCAGUUAGCAGUCACUCUAAGGGACUAUAAUUAAUCAUUUAUUUAAUCUUAAUCCUUUACAUAGCUGAUGGUAAAAAUGUUUUUUCCCUGCCCACAUAAGUAAGCCACACAGCCUCCUCAUUUAGCUGGGAAGGAAAACCCCCAGACAAAAUCACUUGUGUUUUACUGUAACACAGGUGGGUAUUGUUUUCUGGAAUUCCACAAAGAAAAGAGUAUCUCCCCUUCCACAUUACCAGGAAAAGUUAUUCUGCAAUUCCAUUAGUAAAAACUACACAUUUCACAUUCUUUAUCUGUGGUGUAAGACCCAGAGCAGCUCCCAAGAUACACAAAGAUCUUCGAACAGAUGAAAGAAAGUCACUCUUGCUUGUUUCAACGAGGAUUCCCAUCUGCUCAAAGCAAAUUCUCGCACUUUCAUCGAUGCCAAAACAACCUCCUGCCCCACCCAGGAAAAAACACCUCCAUCUUGUUAAACAAGUUUCAUUUAUAUAUGUUCAGCAUUUAAAGAGCUAUUAAAAAAAUAACUGCUCUGCACAAGUGAUUCUUAAGUGAAAUGUAAUCAUGAAAAUAUACUGGAAACUCAGAUGUGAAGCUGCAACCUAUUCCAGCCACGGAGACACAGAAUAUGCUGGACACCACCACCCCUAGAGAUGCCAUCAGUACUACAGCUCUUCUGUUACGCUUACUAUGGAAAUGAGGGAUUCAGCCCGCAUGGAUACGGCACGGAAACUGAGCUGAUGCAUUCAGUGGAGAAACAGGAGCUUGAAAACUUCAGCACACAAACAGCCUCUAUGGCUCCUAAAUAAACUCUCCCCAAACAAGAGUUCAGCAGAGCAUUUUUCCAUAAUAAAAAUCUCCCAUGUUCCUAAGGUGCCUAGGAUCCCACAGGUACAUCAUGUAUUACUAUUGUUUUUGCUUUAUGUGAUUAAACAUCAUAGAAUGAAAGUUAAUCACUGCUGUAGAGGAAGUUUUUUAUAGGUAUGUAUAUAAGGUCAUUCAUAUGAGUCCUAGCCAACCUCUGAUUUGAGAAGGUAGACUUGAAUACUGGAGGCCUUUACAGUACUUGCCUUGAGCAUCUGCGUUUGCAGAGGUAUUGCUGGAAUAGCCCAUGCUGUGUGAGUGGUAUCAAGGACUUAGCAGAACCAUCUAUACCCUUGAAGUUCUACCAAAGCUGUCAGCUUUCCCAGAUCCCAGCUCUUAUUAAGAGGAACAGCUGAGAAGACAGUGGAGAGACACCUGAUACUCUCUGCUGGAGUCCUAGCCACAGCUACUUACUGUUAAUUAAUCACUGUGCUACAAAGAUAAUCUACAUUCUGUAGCUUUCCCUUUAAAGACUUCUUCUUUGGCCCAAAUACAGACAUUAACACCUUGAGAAAAUACUCAGAAAACGAUCUAUGUGCUGAGGAGGAGGAGCAGAGCAGUGGGGUGGCAAAGUGACCGCUCGCUCCCUGGCAGCUCACACGAGCCUUUGCACAGGCUGACGUCAGGUGUGGUGGAAAAGACCAACUCUGCUGACGCAAGACAUCGGUGACAAUGAAACCCCUAAUAGGGGUUUACUUCUGAGCAACAAAGACAGCUACAUGAAAAGGAACAUAUUAGAGAACAGCCCAUGACAACACACACUGAACCAACUCGCUGUGUUUGGCCGGAUGCACUGGUCCGGGUCCAAGGCAGGACAGCCACAGCUGCUGGACGUGGAUGAGCUGCAGUGACGAGCUCUGGCCACCCCCGUGCCAGCCCAGGAGCCUGCAGCCAGGGUGAAGUCACCGGGCUCACGUCAGGACACGCACUGGAGCUGUGGACAUCCACCUGUUGGGAGCAGUACUGAAACGGGAGCUCACUUCCUCCUCAAAGUGGCAGGUCACAAUAUGCUAUGCAUAUUGCAAAGGUCUGAAAACCAAUGCCUGUGCAAGAUGUAAUCCAGUCCGUUUCAGUGAACCUCGUGGCAAAUCCUCUCACACCAUCGUGUGUGCUUCUUUUGUUACCUGAGCCUGCUCCAGAAAGACAAGAUGAAACAGUCCCUUAAAAACUCAGGAAAGGAGGACCAGCAAAACACUUGGGUGAUUUGUCCCUGGUGGAGAAAGAAGCAAUGACACCGGCACUGGUUUAUUAACAAGUUAGAGACUGCCAUCCACUCUGCUUUCUCCUCCAAACCUGGACUGCAUCUGCCAUACCUUGUUGCUUAAUUGUGAUGACAAUUCUAGUUGUUUCAGUGCCUGAGAACAUGCACUAUAACCCUGAAAUACAUUCAAGAAAGCGUAAAGCUCCAUAAAAGAAGCAAUUGAGGAAAAAUUUAGUAUAGAUGUAAGAGAAAAUUAUUAUUAUCUCUUCUGAUUUGUGCAGCUGCGGUUUCUGAAUUCGACCAAAUAACUUCUUAUCAAACCCAUAAUUUUAGAUUAAGUUGAAGCAUCUAGUAUAUGGAAAAUACUUAAUCUUGGACAAAGAGACCAGAAGAUGAAAAAGCCACUAAAUGCUUGAAUUGAUUGUUUCCAGAUAAAUGAGCAUCAGUUCAAAACAUGAAUGACAUACAAAGCUUCUCUGUCCAUCAUCAACAGCUUCAAUAUUUUUCCUCAUACAAUGAAAUUACCUAUCUGGUACUAAUCAAAUUCUGUUUUGAGCAUAAUUAUAACUGUGUCUGCCAGCCUGCCAAACUCAAAAAAAAAUUGGGAAAAAUGGAAUUUAAGGGCAGAGUAAGUAAUUUUGCCAAGAUAAUUUUGUAUUUCAGAACUGUGAAAUGCUGUGGUCAAAUCCAUGUACAAAUCCAUUUUUCAUUUUCUGUAUUCAUUCUACUAUGCUUAUAAUUAGAAGAUAAAUUCUAAUGGCUUUUAAAUUGUAAAUUGACAUUCACAGAUAAGAAAUACAAAUUAUGCUAUAAUGUGGAAGAAAAACCACUGCAAAAAUUAAAGAAUAAUUUCCAUGUCUAUUUGUUUUGUCCUACAGUUUCUCCUCCAUUAUUUACCUUACACACUCCUACUACCAGACCUUUCCCAUGUCAAGUACAUGUGUUUACACUGAAGAGUAUGACAGCAGUGGCUGACAAUAGUUGGGCUCUAACACUCUUAACCAUCCCAGAUAGAACCACUCCUAGCUGGGUCUAAUGACUGGAGGACCAGGCAAGAAGCUCAAGCGGCUGUUU